CUUUCAAGUUAACCGCGUUGACCGCUAUAAGAAAAACUUCUUUGUUCCUCUGUUUUUGUCUCCCUAAAAACCCCGUCUUUGGAAAUCCUUGUUCCUUACUCUUCACUAUAGUCACUCUUGAUUCUGAAAUCUACAUUCAGCGUAUUUUGUUAAUGUUACAUAAAUUACGUCUCCAAUGUAUACCAGAAGAACGGAUUGUACAACAACGAGAAAAAUCAAUGAAAAAAAAAGUCUGAAAAAAUUUUCAUUCACAGAGUGAUAAAAGGAUAAAAGGACCACAAAAUGCCCCGUCGAAAAAAUUUGGAGAACAUUGCAAUUGGCGAAGAUACAAGAAUCGCUGUCAAUUUAACAAUCAGAAAGUUGAUAAAUACGGAACAAAAAGAACUUGAAUUUCCGUCAUGCUACAGCGCUAAAGAAAGAGCUUAUAUUCAUUCACUUGCUAUCAAGCUUGGCCUCAAAUCUAAAAGCAGAGGAAAAGGUGCAAAUCGAUAUUUGACAGUGUACAAGCGAGAAGGAUCAACGAUCAUUCAAGAGGAUGCCAUAGUCAAACUUCAAAAGGCUUCCAAACAGUCGAUUUACAAUUUGAUACAAAAGUUUCCUUUGAGCGCUAAGGAACGCCAGGAAUUAUUACCGCUUACUGAGAGAGAUAGAUCCUUCGAAACUGACAGCUUGCUGCCUCCAGGAGCAGCGAGCACAAAAGCAAUGGGCAGAUUGAAUUACAGCAUAGCACAAAUCCCGCAAUUGAAGGUGAACCAAGACGUUGUAAAUUUUCGAAAAUCGCUAACGAUAAACAGCGCUCGUGGUAAAAUAUUGAACGCAAUAUCAUUGAACCAAGUGUUAAUAAUAGCGGGUGAAACGGGUUGUGGAAAAACGACGCAGGUGCCACAAUUUAUACUGGAGAAUUGUCAAGCAAAGAAACAACCAUGCAAAGUGAUAUGUACACAGCCGAGACGUUUGUCAGCUGUAUCGAUAGCUGAGAGAGUAGCGUUCGAGAGGGGAGAAAAUAUCGGUCAAACGUUUGGUUAUCAGAUACGAUUGGAGAGCAGAGUAGCGCCGAAAACUUUAUUGACUUAUUGUACGAACGGUGUUUUAUUGAGAACAUUGAUGGGCGGAGAUUCAGCAUUGGAAACGAUAACGCAUAUCAUAGUUGAUGAGGUACACGAGCGGGAUCGUUUUUGCGAUUUCCUCUUGAUCGCAUUGAAGGAUGCCCUCGCAAAAUAUCGUGAUCUCAAGGUGAUAUUGAUGAGCGCGACAAUGGAUACAGACAUAUUCGUGAAAUAUUUCAACAAUUGUACGGUGAUAAACGUAUAUGGACGCUCUCACGAAGUGGAGACAUAUCAUCUCGAGGAUGUAUUGAAAAUGACUGGUUACAUGACGAAAGAGAUGCUAGCAAAAAAGAAAGAGCUCACGAAAAAAGAAGAUCAGCAGAAGGUUUUGGAACGUUGGACGCGUUACAAGCCGACUCAGCCGAUGAGCGUUGCCGGUAGAAAGGAACAUCAGGUACCAACUCCGAUACUUGGACAACAAUUGGAAAAGCCAACGAUCGUAGAAAAAGUUGAUCUUGAGCCUUGGUUGAUCGAGGAAAUGAACAAAUGCAUAACCGACGCGUGGUUAGCAGGUGGCGAUGAUAAUUUUGCCCAAUUGAUGCAUCUCUUACUCUCGGAAAAUGUUUCGGUUGAUUACCAACACACUCAAACAUCUGUGACACCUUUGAUGGUUGCAGCUGGACGUGGGUGUCUCAAUACGACCGAACAUUUGUUGAACCUCGGAGCAAACCUCAAGAUACGCUCGAGUAAUGAUUGGACAGCGCUUGAUUGGGCGAAAAAAAUGAAUCAGAGCGAAUGCGCCGAGUUGAUCGAAGCUUACAUGAGAAACUACGAUCUCGCUGUACAGGAAAACCUUGCGGGAAACACGACCGCAGCCGCCUCGAGCGAAAACCUUCCACUUUCGGAGGAAAGUAAAUUGUUACUGGACAUCUAUCAAUCGACUUUCAACGACGAGAAUGUUGAUUACGACCUUCUCUUGUCUCUCAUUCGCUACGUUCACUCCAACAGCCCCCCCGGUGGUAUACUCGUUUUUUUACCAGGUUACGACGACAUUGUUACAAUGAGAGAGCGCAUCAACUCUAAUGAGGAAAGCAUCAAUCAGACAAUGAGAUAUCAGCUCUUCAUUCUUCAUUCGAACAUGCAAACUUGCGACCAAAAGAGAGUUUUCAAGACCAGUCCUCAUGGCACGAGAAAAAUCAUACUCGCCACUAACAUCGCCGAAACUAGCAUUACCAUCGACGAUGUCGUUUACGUCAUUGAUUCUGGAAAAGUGAAAGAAAAAUCUUUUGACGCUGUAGCUGGCGUCUGCAUGCUCCAUUCCAAUUGGAUAUCGCAAGCUUGUGCGAAACAACGUAAGGGCCGUGCUGGACGAUGCCAAAAAGGCCACUGUUAUCGCUUGUUCUCCUCCGUACGUUACAACAGCAUGCAACCUUAUCAAACGCCUGAAAUCCUUCGGGUUCCUCUUCAAGAAUUGUGUCUCUACACAAAACAUCUCGCACCUGUCAAUACUCCCAUUGCCGAAUUCCUCGAGAGAGCCAUCGAACCACCACCGAUUCUCGUAACGCGAAACGCUGUGCAAUUGUUGAAAACCAUCGAUGCUCUUGACACUUGGGAAAAUCUCACGGAGCUGGGCACGCACUUGUUAGUCUUACCCGUUGAACCAAGGCUCGGAAAAACUCUUCUCUAUGCGGUUGUUCUCAAGUGUCUUGAUCCCAUACUCACCAUUGUUUGCAGUCUCGCUUACAGAGAUCCAUUCGUGCUACCUUCACAACCGUUCCAAAAGCGGGCAGCUGCAGCUGCUCGCAAGCAAUUCGCCGGUGGUUCAUACUCCGAUCACAUGGUCGUACUGAGAGCUUUCCAAGGCUGGCAACAAGCGAGAGCAAAUGGCUGGGAGCGUCAAUUUUGCGAACAAAAUUUCAUUUCGGGUCCUGUUAUGGAAAUGAUCGUUGGAAUGAGAACUCAGUUGCUUGGACAAUUACGCGCAUCUGGAUUCGUUCGCGCCAAGGGCUCCGGUGACAUAAGGGAUUUGAAUAUCAAUUCGGAAAAUUGGGCCGUCGUCAAAGCCGCCCUUACAGCCGGUCUUUAUCCCAAUUUGAUCCGCGUCGAUCGCGAACAUUCUCAUUUACGUACACGUAACGAGACAAAAGUCUUUUUCCAACCGUCCUCAACGCUGAAGGAUACAGCAUCUUCGGCAAGGACAACGAGUGCGCAAUCGCACGCGGGUAACGUUAACGGUUUACCCUCGGAUUGGUUAAUUUACGAAGAAAUGAGUCGGGUCGGUCGCUUUUGUCACGUGAAAACGGUGACUCUCGUCAAUCCGGUGACUGUCGCAUUGUUCAGUGGCCCAGCUAAAUUGCCUAUGGAAAUCAUUUACGAGGCUGAAUAUAUUCCCGAAAGCGAAUCCGAUUCUGAAACGGAGACGACCCAGGAAAGCACAACGAUUCUCAAACUCGACGAUUGGGUUGUUUUUAAAAUCGAUCGAGAAAUCGCACGUUUGAUUCUACAUCUUAGACAAAAAUGGAACGCUUUGUUUCUUCGACGAAUGAAGUAUCCGAGCAGAGUUAUGUCCCAUUUGGACGAACACGUUAUCAAGGCUCUCGUCACUGUCAUCACCAACGAAGAACAAGCUUGCGGACUUCAGCAACCGUCUGGAAUUGGUCAAAGACCUAAGCCUCUCGUUGUUGAUUAUUAUCCUGGCAAUGUAAGAAGAUCCGACGACGUUGAUGAUAAACACCUAUAACUUCGUUCUCGAAAAACAAAUCUCUACUUGAUAUACGUUUUGCGUAAACUUGUAUAAAAUCAUUAAAAAAAAAAAGACAAAACGUUUACGGAGAGAGUCGUAGAGGAUUUUUUGUUGUGAGUAUGUAAAAAAAAGUGUAGAUGCCUUGAAACAAUGGGCGGAUCUCGUCACUUUAUCUACUAGGAUGCUGAGGAGGAAAAAUACGUGUGAUAUUUAACGAUAAGUAGUUUAAAAUAAAACGUAUUUGUGUAUGGAUGCUCAGCAAAAUAGGUUAAUCAUUAGAGUUAGCAUGAACGAUUGAUCUCUUUUUGAUUUGUGAUUCCAAGUAUCUGAUAAAUCAGAUUCGCAUAAGUAGUAUAACUAUGUUUUUUUGUAUUAAGUUAUUUGUAAGUUUUAUAUUCUGGCUUGUACUUUAUGAUGUUCCGAAACUUCCGUAUUGGGCCUGAAAGAACAGAUGAUCAGUUCUCUUAUUCUCAGCAACUCCUUACUGUAAUUGAAUUAAAAAGUCAUAAAAAACCAUGCAUCUGCUGUCUGCGUUUGGAUUAUAAAUGAAAAAAAAUAUUUUAUAUAAUUUUAAGAGAUUAAAACAGCAGGAUUAACGAUGAAAAAAUUGGACGGUUUUAGAUUUUAUAUUUAAAAGAAAACUAGUAAUGUAAUUACGAAUAAUUUUCUGUUACAUCGAACGUAAACUACAGAACUGGAUUAAAAUCUGCUGUAUACACACACACAUUGAAAAUUCGAAACAAAGAAACAUCGAAGACAACAUUUUCAAAAUAAUUAAAAGAGUAAAAAAGUAA